rnacentral:rRNA from 1 species
UACGAGGGGUGCAAGCGUUGCUCGGAAUUACUGGGCGUAAAGCGUGCGCAGGCGGUAAUGUAAGACAGAUGUGAAAUCCCCGGGCUCAACCUGGGAACUGCAUUUGUGACUGCAUCGCUGGAGUGCGGCAGAGGGGGAUGGAAUUCCGCGUGUAAGCAGUGAAAUGCGUAGAUAUGCGGAGGAACACCGAUGGCGAAGGCAAUCCCCUGGGCCUGCACUGACGCUCGAUGCACGAAAGCGUGGGGAGCAAACAGG